UACGGGGGGAGCAAGCGUUGUUCGGAUUUACUGGGCGUAAAGGGCGCGUAGGCGGCCAGCACAAGUCAGUUGUGAAAUCUCCGAGCUUAACUCGGAAAGGUCAACUGAUACUGUGCGGCUAGAGUGCGGAAGGGGCAACUGGAAUUCUUGGUGUAGCGGUGAAAUACGUAGAUAUCAAGAGGAACACCUGAGGUGAAGACGGGUUGCUGGGCUGACACUGACGCUGAGGCGCGAAAGCCAGGGGAGCAAACGGG
rnacentral:rRNA from 1 species